rnacentral:rRNA from 1 species
CGUGUAGGCGGACUGUUAAGUCGGGGGUGAAAUCCCGAGGCUCAACCUCGGAAUUGCCUUCGAUACUGGCAGUCUUUGAGUCCGGGAGAGGUGAGUGGAACUCCUAGUGUAGAGGUGAAAUUCGUAGAUAUUAGGAAGAACACCAGUGGCGAAGGCGGCUCACUGGCCCGGUACUGACGCUGUGACGCGAAAGCGUGGGGAGCAAACA